ACUUUCAGAAGCUUUUAAAAGGAAAGGACCUUAGACUAGAAAUGAUGCCUUACUACAAGUGACAGCAUCUGGAAUCUGACACUAUGAAACUGGGGCCUAAAUUGCAAUGGUCAUCCCGCGUGGUAGAGAUACAGGGAAUACAGAACGCAUCCUAAGGAAAGCUGAACCCAGUGGAGCCAGCCCAAAGUGAUGCAGCGCCAUCCGGAUGCCACCUCCAUGAAGCCCGCAGGUCGGACUCACAGCAGAGGGACUGGUGUUUGCCUUGCAGCUUUUCUCUCAUUAAUAUUGCCUUUCCAUUCUCAUGCCCUCCCUACUUGAAAAGGGUAUGUUUGCCACCAGCUAUGGGAAGCACGUGACUCGAGCUUCACUUUCACGGUUGCUCGCGGCUAAGACGUAGCUCUGAGUUUCAGAAGAGACUCUGGAUUUGGAUUUCUGAAUGGCGUUGGGACUGUGACCUCAAGAAGACCUGGAUACCGCGAAAAGACCGUGUUUUACCAGAUUCACUGCACCAUUCGAAAUCUUCUGAGAUCAUAAAUAGACAAAGAAUUACUCCCAGGCUCCUCCCACCAGUGGUGAAGAUGUUCUGAAUGCCUCUGCUUUCUUAUUUUCUCUCCCACCCCUAACAAGGACACUUUAUUGGUAGAACUGGGGAAUCCUCACCAUACAUAGUUUUUGUAGCUUUUUUGGAAGCAAUAUUAUGAUUAAGAAAAUAAAAAUUACAUGAAGAAUA
rnacentral:lncRNA from 1 species